rnacentral:rRNA from 1 species
AACGAACGCUGGCGGCAUGCCUAACACAUGCAAGUCGAACGAGACCUUCGGGUCUAGUGGCGCACGGGUGCGUAACGCGUGGGAAUCUGCCCUUGGGUUCAGAAUAACAGUUAGAAAUGACUGCUAAUACCGGAUAAUGUCUUCGGACCAAAGAUUUAUCGCCCAGGGAUGAGCCCGCGUAGGAUUAGCUAGUUGGUGAGGUAAAGGCUCACCAAGGCGACGAUCCUUAGCUGGUCUGAGAGGAUGAUCAGCCACACUGGGACUGAGACACGGCCCAGACUCCUACGGGAGGCAGCAGUGGGGAAUAUUGGACAAUGGGCGAAAGCCUGAUCCAGCAAUGCCGCGUGAGUGAUGAAGGCCUUAGGGUUGUAAAGCUCUUUUACCCGGGAUGAUAAUGACAGUACCGGGAGAAUAAGCCCCGGCUAACUCCGUGCCAGCAGCCGCGGU